rnacentral:rRNA from 1 species
GACGAACCGUGCGAACGUUAUUCGGAAUCACUGGGCUUAAAGCGCGUGUAGGCGGAUGGGGACGUCGGUCGCUGAAAGCCCCCGGCUCAACCGGGGAACGGGCGCCGAAACGCCCCGUCUGGAGGGACGUAGGGGGACCUGGAACUUCCGGGUGGAGUGGUGAAAUGCGUAGAUAUCCGGAGGAACACCAAAGGCGAAGGCAGCAUCCUGGGAAGUCUCUGACGCUCAGGGACGAAAGCUAGGGGAGCGAACGGG